AAAAAGGCUCAUUGUAUUUAAAUUUACUCUCUGCUGAUAAGGCAGAGUUUAUCUUCAUUUCUGAAGGAUUUUGAAAAACAAAAUUGAUUAAUACAUUGGAUUCAAAAGUUUUUGCUGAAAAAGUACCUCACAUUUUAAUAUAUAUUACCUUAAUGGUCAUAAUCUUGUGCGAGAUGAAGAAGAGAAUAGUGUUCGAGCCAGUGAAUGAACGACUUUUAUUUUAUAAAAGCUAUAAAUUUCUCAGCCCGUGGCCUCAACAUAGCCGGACAGAUUUGAAGAUUCCAACACCUGCCCAGGCAAAAUUAAAGGCUGGCUUUAGAGGAAAGCACAAGACAUACACAUUCAAGUAGAUGUACAGUUAUAAGUAUGAGUACAAUAACUAUUUAUUAAAGUUUAAGUACAUCCGGCGAA